UGCUUAUCAAAAUAAUCCAUGGAGUUCAGGACUUCCCUGCAAUUUUUGUAAAGUCAAAUUAAACAAUCACAAUAACAUUAACAAUGCAAUCUCUAGUUAUUACAAAUUUACAAUAUAAAGUAAACCAAUGUCCUCACCUUGUAGAGGUCCAGGAUUGAAACAAAAUUUGUGGUCAUGAUUUAGGAAAAGUAGAGAAAAUGAGAAUUUCCGUUCCAAGUAUACCGAGAAUCACGAGAUUUUGGGUUUGACGGAGAUGGAGGUGUUGGGCUUAAAUGCAGGACCUAGGGUUCGACGGAGAUUGAGGUCGAACGAGAGCAUGACGAUCUAGGGUUCGACGGUGAGGUGUCAGGUCGAAACAAAGACCUUGAUAAGGAUGGAGAUGGAGGUUCGACAGAUGGAACAAUAGAGAGAAGAGGAGCGAUGGAAGGAUGGCUGAGUAUAGGAACGAACGAUG
rnacentral:lncRNA from 1 species